AUUCUCCAUAGUUAAGGGAGAUGGCGUAUGAGCCAUGGACAAUGGAAAAUAAGUAUCUAAAACUCUGAGAUCCAA
ensembl:snoRNA